UAUUGCCCAGGCGCUUG
rnacentral:piRNA from 1 species